rnacentral:lncRNA from 1 species
CUCCUGGAGGUCAAUCUCAGAAUUUGUUCCCCCACCAGUCCCCACUAUGGUUGGGCCCCUCUGGAGUUUUUAACUCUUAGAAUUGUCCACACUGAGCCUCUAGCAAUUUGCAAAUUACAGUUCAGGUUUUCCUACUGCAGCACUGCUUCCUGAGGAGGAUUUCUGCGCAUGAGUCUCUGCUCCGAGAAUAAUCUUCAUGGUAACUAGCCUCAUCUAGGAGCAAAAACGAUAACUUGGUUAAUGUGGACACUGAUCAAGCACAUCUUGUAGGCCAACGGAAAGAUUCUAAACAUUGAGAGAGUUCUGGAAAAUAGCUGAGCAAUACAGAUGUACAAUAAUGGAUGGUACAGCAAAGAACUAGACACCAGAGUCCCAUAUUGGGAAUGUGGCCUGCCCUCUUCAAGAUCUCUGUGAGCCUGACCGGAGGUCAGCAGGCAGAUCAGAGUCAAAAAAGCAAUGUGAUGAUGGAAGCAUAGUUGGAGUGACGUGAUUUGAAGAUGCAGGAAGCGGCUACAAGCCAAGGAAUGUGAGUUACCUCUAUAAGCCAGCAAAAGCAAGACAACAGAUUCUUUCCUGGAGCCUCUGGGAAUAAGGAAGCCCUGCCAAUUCCUUGACUUUUCAGCCCUGCAUUAGGACUCACUUUAGACUUUUGACCUUCAGAAUUGUAAGGUAAUACAUUUGUGUUGUUUUAAACCAUUGAGUUUGUGGUAAUCUACUACAGCAGCAAGACAAAUCUAUCACACCCUCCCUUUUCUCCUCUUUCUUUAGCACCAUGAUUCCACAACAUUUUUCAAGGAAAGGCACAGCAAAGUUCUUGUGGAAAGCACUCUGUUACAGAAUUCCCUCAUCAAAGUUUAGAUAAUGCAUUUUAUAGAACUCAAAGGAAAGAUGCAUUUUUAAAACCACAAUAUAUUUUAAGAUCAUAGUAUAAAACAAUGCCUUAACAAACACAAAACAAAUUAUAAGGUUUUCCUCUGUAAAGGUAGUUUUCGUUAAUUGAUAAACUAGUUUUGG